rnacentral:rRNA from 1 species
AGAGUUUGAUCAUGGCUCAGAUUGAACGCUGGCGGCAGGCCUAACACAUGCAAGUCGAGCGGUAGCACAGAGAGCUUGCUCUCGGGUGACGAGCGGCGGACGGGUGAGUAAUGUCUGGGAAACUGCCUGAUGGAGGGGGAUAACUACUGGAAACGGUAGCUAAUACCGCAUAACGUCGCAAGACCAAAGUGGGGGACCUUCGGGCCUCAUGCCAUCAGAUGUGCCCAGAUGGGAUUAGCUAGUAGGUGGGGUAACGGCUCACCUAGGCGACGAUCCCUAGCUGGUCUGAGAGGAUGACCAGCCACACUGGAACUGAGACACGGUCCAGACUCCUACGGGAGGCAGCAGUGGGGAAUAUUGCACAAUGGGCGCAAGCCUGAUGCAGCCAUGCCGCGUGUGUGAAGAAGGCCUUCGGGUUGUAAAGCACUUUCAGUGGGGGAGGAAGGCGUUAAGGUUAAUAACCUUGGCGAUUGACGUUACCCGCAGAAGAAGCACCGGCUAACUCCGUGCCAGCAGCCGCGGUAAUACGGAGGGUGCAAGCGUUAAUCGGAAUUACUGGGCGUAAAGCGCACGCAGGCGGUCUGUCAAGUCGGAUGUGAAAUCCCCGGGCUUAACCUGGGAACUGCAUUCGAAACUGGCAGGCUAGAGUCUUGUAGAGGGGGGUAGAAUUCCAGGUGUAGCGGUGAAAUGCGUAGAGAUCUGGAGGAAUACCGGUGGCGAAGGCGGCCCCCUGGACAAAGACUGACGCUCAGGUGCGAAAGCGUGGGGAGCAAACAGGAUUAGAUACCCUGGUAGUCCACGCCGUAAACGAUGUCGAUUUGGAGGUUGUGCCCUUGAGGGCGUGGCUUCCGGAGCUAACGCGUUAAAUCGACCGCCUGGGGAGUACGGCCGCAAGGUUAAAACUCAAAUGAAUUGACGGGGGGCCCGCACAAGCGGUGGAGCAUGUGGUUUAAUUCGAUGCAACGCGAAGAACCUUACCUGGUCUUGACAUCCACAGAACUUUCCAGAGAUGGAUUGGUGCCUUCGGGAACUGUGAGACAGGUGCUGCAUGGCUGUCGUCAGCUCGUGUUGUGAAAUGUUGGGUUAAGUCCCGCAACGAGCGCAACCCUUAUCCUUUGUUGCCAGCGGUCCGGCCGGGAACUCAAAGGAGACUGCCAGUGAUAAACUGGAGGAAGGUGGGGAUGACGUCAAGUCAUCAUGGCCCUUACGACCAGGGCUACACACGUGCUACAAUGGCAUAUACAAAGAGAAGCGACCUCGCGAGAGCAAGCGGACCUCAUAAAGUAUGUCGUAGUCCGGAUUGGAGUCUGCAACUCGACUCCAUGAAGUCGGAAUCGCUAGUAAUCGUAGAUCAGAAUGCUACGGUGAAUACGUUCCCGGGCCUUGUACACACCGCCCGUCACACCAUGGGAGUGGGUUGCAAAAGAAGUAGGUAGCUUAACCUUCGGGAGGGCGCUUACCACUUUGUGAUUCAUGACUGGGGUGAAGUCGUAACAAGGUAACCGUAGGGGAACCUGCGGUUGGAUCACCU